GUCGCUGCCCCUUGGACCACCUUGUGGAGUAAAUGCUGGAGUCACGGGAUGCCUCACGCAGGGCCACGGCAGCCCUGGACCAAUGGAUACUGUUGGAGACCCUGCAUCCUGCCCGCUCUUGCCCCAGACCCCUUCCCACAGACUGCCCUGGCCCGGACGCUCACCGCACAGCUCGCCCUCGUCCGAGCCGUCUUCACAGUCGUCUUUGCCAUCACACAGCUUGUCAGGGGGCAGGCAGACGGAGGUGUUGUUGGCACAGGGAUGUGAGGGUGGCCUGCAGGCCAGGGCCUCACAGUUCUCCUCGUCCGAGUUGUCCUCACAGUCGCUGUCUCCGUCACACACCCACGCUUUGCUGAUGCACCGAGCUGAGGGGGGGCAGGCACACAAUGAGGAGCAAGGCCUGGAGACUGGGACUCACUAUGCCCAGACCCAGUGGGGCGUCUCUGACAGGGUCGUCGCUGAAGCGCUCCAGGGACCGCUAUGACCACAAAGCCUUUGCUGUCAAAUCCACACAGCUCUUCUCGUCACUGGAAUCCAUGCAGUCGGUGUCUCCGUCACAGCGCCACCGCAGGGGGAUGCAGAGCCCAUCCAGCCGGCACUGGAACUCAUCGGGCUGGUACCCUCUCCUCAUGUCUCAACUCUCAUCAGCUGCCUAUGAUCUGACUCUUCUUUCCCGGGAGGACCUGAAGUUCAAUGUGCUCUAAUUUCCUUCUGGAGCUGUCUCCCAAAGUGUCACCGACACUGUACCUCCUCCCAGUGCUCCCCACUGCCUGCCAGGUCAAGCCUGUCUGACACUCAUGCCCUACUGGAAGCUGUCACCUCUGAAGCAGCCUCAUUCCCUUGUCAAUGCCGAGGCUUCUCUUAUCUGCCUGCCUGCCUGGCCCAGCUGGCACCGCCGGAAGUGUUCGAGUCUCCAAGCUGCCUUCCCCCCAUAGAGGAAGUCCAUGCAGAGGAAGUAAUCGAUCCAGGUCUGCCUGGCUUGUUGGGUAAUAUCUGCACUGCUUCAUAAAGCAUGUGGGAUCCCUUCCUACAUCCCCAAGUCCUUCUUAGAGAUUGAUCCUGAAGACCGAGUCACUGUUUCUGAUCCUCCUGAGACCCUCUUGGUCCUGUCUCUCAGUUGGAUGCACAGUGGGUGGUCCACGGGACCCACUAUUUAUAAUUCUAACUCCAAGGCAGAGACUAGCCGGUGGGACCAUGGGCCAUGUAAGGCUUGAAGUAAUGUCAGUUGUCAUGAGUUGAACUCCCAUCCCUAAAAGGAUGCCGAACCACCUUACCUAUCAAGAUGGCCUUGUUUGGCAAUAGUGUCUUUGCCGACUGAAAUCAUUGGGGUAAUAAAGCCUAAUUAACAGCA